CUCAUCCUGCACGAACAUAUUUGAUAGAUCCGGAUAAACCACAAUGGCAUUUGACAUAUUUUACAAGGAUUAUGGUGAAAGUUCUUCGUGAAACGAGUCGAAUGAAGAGGAAACGGCCGAUUUUUUAAGCGAUACAACGAAGCGAGGCGAAGUACAGGAAGUUGAAUUGUUCACCCUAACUAUAAUUAGUAACGAUUCGCUAUCAAGUCGAAAAGAAAUUAAUACAGAGAAAUAUAGGCGAAAUCGGAAAAGGGAAGAAGCAAAAAGGCAAAGCCAUGGUCGUCUCUUUGUAAACGAAUCAUGGAUCAUUAUUUCUAACUCACCCAUUUAUUGUUAGCGAAAUCCAUUUUUAUUCCUUUGUCGUCACGUCCUUGUGCCAUUUAAUUUUAAGGUAGAGCCGUUUAAUGUUAUUUUUUUGGUGAAAAAUUGAAGAAUGAUUGGUUAAAGGCGCUAAGAAGGAUAACGUGAUAGCUCUCACGCGAAACGACGCUUAACUGUACGCGGAACAACUGAUACUGCACAUUCGUGGCUAAAAAAGAAACCAUACCGGUACGGACUCGUCCGGAAGUGGGUCCGGAACUCUGAUCGGCCAGCCGUAACACACGGAUUUAUAGAUUAGUUAUUGCAUGUAACAAUUACAUUUAUUAUUCAUUAUGCAUUUAUAUCGUAAAAUAAAUGCAUACCGGCGCUGCAUCGUAUCUUACACGAAUCACUGUAACAGGCACGAUAUCAUCAAAUAAGGAUAUAAAUACGAGCGGCUGAAAGGUAUGAGUUACUAACACUAACUCACACUAACCCGAUUGUUAUGUUGCACUUAAAAAAGAUAUAAAUUACACAAGUUUAUACAUUGAUACGCUAGAGAUACGGUAGAGACAGUGUGUUCCAGCUUACGUUUGUAGUUCACUUGCGCGCUGAUGUCACAUAUAUAUAUAUACACACACACACACACACACACAUACCUCAAGCGAAAGGUGAUGAACAACCAAUGGAUAACGUUAAUAGAUAACGUUCGCAGUCUACAUUAUCGACAAAAUAUAAAGUCUUGCUGAUCUAGGUAGGUGCGAUUAAUUAAUAUUCGCCUAAAUAAUUACAAUAAGUAGAUAUGGAUCGCGUUUCUAAUUUCAUUCGGUUUUCUAAAACAAAGGAAAGGUCUUUGAGCGAUUUUGUUGGUCGAUUAAUCAUUCCUCGAAGUUGAAUAUAAAAAAGAAGAAAAAACAGUAGAAUUGCGUUAUGGAUCCUGUUAAGAAGAACAUUUAGCGAGAAAAUAGUGAGAAACCAUCUUGGUCCAUUUGGAUAGGAAGAAAUGUAGGGUUUCAUAAUCGAACGGCGUACAAAGUAAGGUCCGAUGGACUGGCAAAACGAGGAAAACGACUACUUCGACGGUAUUUCGACACGUUAAUGCUACGCUAUGACAAAUUUUUAACGCGCAUCUAUUUCUUCGCGAACAGUAGACAAUUUUUCUUGGAACGAGAGUAACUUUUUAUCCAGAACGAAAAGUGAAGUGAGUUUGGCCGGUAACCUUGGUCGCAGCGUUUCUUCCAAAGAAGUACAGGUUCGAUCAAUCGAAAAUCUUCAUUGUAUCUUUCAGUUAUAAAUUCAGAUAAGUUUGACAAAUUGCCUUCUUCGAUGAUAGGUCAGCUUCAUUAAUUGCAAAGAAUCGAAAAGUUUUACGUCUGCUUUUGAACAACUGAACUUAGAUGUUAAUUCUAAAAAUAGUACGGAAUUAGUUCAAAGAACGUGCGAUGUACAGACUGAUCCUCUAUAUGAUCACGAAACUGAAAAUAUGAUCACAGGCUUUCAAACUAGAGAGAUCCCAUCCUUUCGUUUGGUCAUUCAGGGUCCUGAAAUUUUAAAAUUUCAGGCAAUGUCGUUAUAUACAUUAAGAAUUUUUUUGUUCUCUCAAUUACUAAUUUAUACGUAUAUAAUUUGAUAACAGGGUACAAAAUAUGCAUCAAAAGAUAUCGCACGUUAUUGGAAGAAAGACUCACGAAUGUGGCUUUGGAAGUCCGGACAGCGUGCGAAUAAUCAACAACAGCCAGAACAUUCUAUGCAUCUAUGUAUAUCGGAGCAGAAUUUCAAAAGAUUUCAAUGAAGAAGAAAUUUAAAUUUAUAGUACUUUUUCCAUGAGAAAAAUUACCUGAUAAAAAUCAUAAUUUAUAUAUAUAUAUAUAUAUAUAUAUAUAUAUAUUUUUUUUUUAUAUUUAUUUACACUCGCAGAAAUAUUGAUGAUUUA